rnacentral:rRNA from 1 species
AGGGUUUGAUCAUGGCUCAGAUUGAACGCUGGCGGAAUGCUUUACACAUGCAAGUCGAACGAUGAAGCCUAGCUUGCUAGGUGAAUUAGUGGCGGACGGGUGAGUAAUAUAUCGGAACGUGUCCAUUAAUGGGGGAUAACUAAUCGAAAGGUUAGCUAAUACCGCAUACGCCCUGAGGGGGAAAGCUGGGGAUCUUCGGACCUAGCGUUAAUGGAGCGGCCGAUACCUGAUUAGCUAGUUGGUGGGGUAAAAGCCUACCAAGGCAACGAUCAGUAGCUGGUCUGAGAGGACGACCAGCCACACUGGGACUGAGACACGGCCCAGACUCCUACGGGAGGCAGCAGUGGGGAAUUUUGGACAAUGGGGGCAACCCUGAUCCAGCCAUUCCGCGUGAGUGAAGAAGGCCUUCGGGUUGUAAAGCUCUUUCGCAAGGGAAGAAACGAUAUAGGUUAAUAGCUUAUGUUAAUGACGGUACCUUGACAAGAAGCACCGGCUAACUACGUGCCAGCAGCCGCGGUAAUACGUAGGGUGCAAGCGUUAAUCGGAAUUACUGGGCGUAAAGCGUGCGCAGGCUGUUUUGUAAGUCAGAUGUGAAAUCCCCGAGCUCAACUUGGGAACUGCGUUUGAAACUACAAGACUAGAAUAGGUCAGAGGGGGGUAGAAUUCCAUGUGUAGCAGUGAAAUG